rnacentral:rRNA from 1 species
GAUGAACGCUGGCGGCGUGCCUAAUACAUGCAAGUCGAGCGAACGGACGAGAAGCUUGCUUCUCUGAUGUUAGCGGCGGACGGGUGAGUAACACGUGGAUAACCUACCUAUAAGACUGGGAUAACUUCGGGAAACCGGAGCUAAUACCGGAUAAUAUUUUGAACCGCAUGGUUCAAAAGUGAAAGACGGUCUUGCUGUCACUUCUAGAUGGAUCCGAGCUGCAUUAGCUAGUUGGUAAGGUAACGGCUUACCAAGGCAACUAUGCAUAGCCGACCUGAGAGAGUGAUCGCCCGCACUGGAACGUAGACGCGGUCCAGAGGCCUACGGGAGGCAGCAGUAGGGAAUGGUCCGCAAUGGGCGAAAGCCUUACGGAGCAACGCCGCGUGAGUGAUGAAGGUCUUCGGAUCGUAAAACUCUGUUAUUAGGGAAGAACAUAUGUGUAAGUAACUGUGCACAUCUUGACGGUACCUAGUCAGAAAGCCACGGCUAACUACGUG